rnacentral:rRNA from 1 species
UGGGGAAUAUUGCGCAAUGGCCGCAAGGCUGACGCAGCGACGCCGCGUGGGGGAUGAAGCAUUUCGGUGUGUAAACCCCUGUUGCUCGGGACGAACAGCCCUUUUCGAGGGGCCUGACGGUACCGGGUGAGGAAGCACCGGCUAACUCCGUGCCAGCAGCCGCGGUAAUACGGAGGGUGCGAGCGUUGUCCGGAAUCACUGGGCGUAAAGGGCGCGUAGGCGGUCUGCUAAGCGUGUGGUGAAAGCUCGGGGCUCAACCCCGAGUCGGCCAUGCGAACUGGUGGACUUGAGCACUGUAGAGGCAGGUGGAAUUCCGGGUGUAGCGGUGGAAUGCGUAGAGAUCCGGAAGAACACCGGUGGCGAAGGCGGCCUGCUGGGCAGUAGCUGACGCUGAGGCGCG